rnacentral:lncRNA from 1 species
CUUUGCUACAGGAGAAAAUCGCUUAUCUGUAGCGCAAAAUCGGCGCACAGGGGUUUUCUCUGAGAUUGUCUAGACGCCGAGCGGGCGGGUCGGAGGCGCCAGACACAUUGUAUCCGGAGCGCGGAGCUCGGGAGCAACAGUCGCCGCUUCUACUCUGUAUCUGCGCCGCCCCAGGCGCCCAGUGUCCGCGCUGGGCCUGGGACUGCCCUCGGGGGAUGGGGCCCACGCGGGCUUUGAUGGGGGGCCGGGGGCCACUUUGUCCACCCAGGCGAGGCUCGGGUCCAGCGCCGGCCACAUCAACUCCCGGGGGAUCUAGCAGCGCAGAGGCCGAGCAGGAGGCCCGGGAGCCCCGCGCGUCUUCCAUUAGCGCAGGGACCUCCGGGCCACAGCUCAGAGAAUCGGAAGGCCUCCUCCCCCUUCCCGAGCGCUGCCACUGGGGCCGAGGUUUCCAGCAAGAACCCGCGUGUCCCUGCGCACGCACACACGGUGCACACAUCAGUCCGGCGCCUCCCCGUGCCCCGACUCACGCAGGUCCUCCCGCGCGCCCGCAACACGCCCGCAGGCUCCUGUGUCUGCUGCCGGGGCAGCGGGGCCCGUAAGGGUAAGAACGCGGCUCGCUAGCGGGAUGGGGACCCUGGCCCGGCCUGGACGCUGUCCCGGGCGGGGCCUGGGGGCGGAGCGCGCCGGGCCGGGCGCGCAGGAGGGGAGGCGGGUCCGCGCCGCCGCGGUCCGCGCCGCCCCGCCCUUGGCCCAGCCGCUCGCUCGGCUCCGCUCCCUGGCUCCGCUCCCUGCCUCCGCGUCGCAGCCCCCGCCGUAGCCGCCUCCGAGCCCGCCGCCACAUCCUCUGAGCAGAAGAUGGCUGUGCCACCCACGUAUGCCGAUCUUGGCAAAUCUGCCAGGGAUGUCUUCACCAAGGGCUAUGGUGAGUGUUGCAGAGAGGGGGUGCCUUUCAGCUUACAGACUGAGUUGGCAUGUUU